CAGCCGUUUCAUCAGGAAUUAGGUGGUGGAAACACUCAGAUUCACCAGGAUGAAAAUAUCGGUGUAAUAAUCACGAGUUUAAACAGUUAUUACAGUAGUAAUAGACGGGUUUGUUUCGAACAAACAAGUCUCCCCGUGAGAUGGAAGAGUCCAAGUGCAAGGUCAGCUGACCGAGUUAUAAAUACUGAACCAAACAGGGCCGUGCUUGUCUCCGAAGAACCAAGCUUUUAUUGAAAUAAACCCUCGAAUAUUCUGACAAUCAAUUUUGUCUUCAGUUGCCUGUGUGCAGCGGAGUGCUGACUGCCGUCAAGGUGAGCUCCAGCAGCCGGAGCGGCUGUUUGGAGCUGCAGCUGAAAGCAGAGCCUCAUCUUACAGGCUGCGUUCAGAAACAAGAUUUUCUCCCAGGUGCUGUUAUGAGGUUACACGUGAAAUGACGGCCGUCUGAGGACACAAACUCCUGAGCGGCCCUCAGCUCAGCACAGGUCUUAGUUAAGGAGUAGAUCCACCUGUUCCUGCACAGAUUUACAACGUCUCGAUCGGGCUGCCAUAAUGGAAACUGUUAUCUGUGCGGCCUCUGAGCAGCCUGUCCAGGUCACAGAUCAUUUCAGAUUAAAGCUCCCUGUGCAUCAAACAUUAACUCUGCUCUCCUCUGGGUUACAUAUUUGUGGUUCAAUGCUGAGGAGAACGCUCAGGCCAGGAUCCAGCUGCUGUGGCAUAGAGACUUUCACAUCUGCACAUAAACAUCGUCCUGUUGCUCACUUGAUUGUUUUAUAUCAUUAUUCGUCAGUUUUAGCUCUGACGGUCACAUUAUGCGGUGCCUCUUCAAACACAGCAACAGCACUACACGUCAGCAAAGACCUUUGACCUUUGAUUUUAACCAUUUUGUAAUACUUUCAUUUUUUUAUCAACUGUCCGAGCUCUGUGCAGUGUGAAGUCACACAAACUGGCCCCAAUCCAAAUUCUUCCCCCCCAUUUGAAGGGGGAGUGUAAGUGUAAGCGUGUCAGGACAUUUAUUUUUUAAAUCUGACCCUCCAAACGGAGGGGACAAAGUCCUCUGUCGGGAGAAGUGCUUUUCUUCACUUUGGUGCGCUCUGAAGCACAGAAGUCUACAUUUAAAUGUAACUAAUGACUUUUAGUUGUAGCAUGACCCUCUUAAAGUUAUAAAGCCGCUGUUGUUAUGUUUAUUCAAGCGCUGGAAGCUCUGCUCUAAAGCUAGCGGAACGGCGAUUAUUGAUGACGUCAUCGAUGAAAGUGACGUCUGAAAUAUGAGUCACUAUUUUUUAAAACUCUAAUAUGAAGGAGAAGAGAGAAGGCAAGAAUUCGGAUCAGGCCGUGGACUCAAGUCAUAAAUUUGAUAACUUGACUAAAUCCAACUGGACUUUAACGGCGCUGACUUGUUGGACUUCAAGCUCUUGGCUAAAAAACUGUAAAUUGUAUUUUCUUUUUAUUGACAUUGAUAUUUUAAAUGUUGCUUUUAUUGAUUGUUCUUAAGUUGACCAUUUUAACAUCUGUCCAGGGACAACAGAUGAAAAACAGCCGCUGGGCUAAUUCUGGCUCAUUGCAUACAAUGCGUUUAAUGUGCACUGUCCCUGAAAAAUAAAUCAAUAAAUAAAUAAAAUAAAAGACUUGCUACUUGUC